GGGUCGUUAGCUCAGUUGGUAGAGCAGUUGACUUUUAAUCAAUUGGUCGCAGGUUCGAAUCCUGCACGACCCUCCA
rnacentral:tRNA from 2 species